CGAAGUCCCUUUGCUUUAUCUCAGUGGCCAGCCUCCCCUCAGAUUAACUUGUCACAAGGCAGACCAGUCUUGCCCCUCCCCAUGACUGAUGAUGGAUGGUGGAAGACUCUGGUGGCCUGCUGUAGUUCCCAAGGGGUUUUUGUUUUUGUGGUUUUUCUUUUCUGUGUGUGUGUGUGUGUGUGUGUGUGUGUUAGCAAAGGAAGGAAGUGAGAAUGUGAAUAGAGGGUAGUGCUGCCUCCCCCCCCCCAUGCAGCCUGGUUAGUGAAGAGAAGCUCUGCAGGAAACACCUCAAAGUCACUGAGGGUGGUCCCCCCCCCCAUGAGUGUGGCUUGCUGAGGUCUGGGGCCAGGAAGGAAGGAGCCAGGACCAGCAGGCAAGGAAGGAAGAGGGAGCGGCAGGGAAGGCACGAAGGUGACAGGCCUGUACCUACAGUACCCUCAAACCAGGAUCUCUGCAGACAGCCUGCCUGUCCCUAGCUCCCUCCCUACCAGCUACUCCAUUCCAUGGGACUAAACCUCAGAAAGGAAAGGGACACAGGGCUGAGACAACUGGCCCAUAUCCCAAGUCUUGUGGCUGUUUCAGCAUGGUACACUGAGCCCAGCGGACGAGGAGAGAUCGUCACAGAGGGCCUUGUGCAAAUCAGGUCAUUAUCCUGCCCUGACACCCAGUUCAGAGACCCUGCUCCACACAGACCUGACCCAUACAUGGCAAUCUCUGGCCUCCUUCCUCUAUGGAGCCCUUCAGUGCCCAGCGUGGGAGAUGGCACCUGCCCUUGUGUUCUCCAAGCUCCCUGAUACAGAGGGGGAGGACAAGGUGAGUCCUGCCUUGGCUGGGGAGAGCUCACCUUUGUUUACUAAGCACCUACUGUGUGUUCAGCCUAGUGUUAACACAGAUCUCAUCCCCAGGACAAAAAAGUUGGGGAGUUUUAUCUGCGCCAUUGGGAAACCUGAGGCUCACAGAGGAGCAGGGUCUAGCCUCAAGCCACUCAGUCAGUCUCUGCAGAAGCUAGGGACAAAGGGUGACUGGUGUGCUCACUAGAGGGUCAGGUGAUACCCCAAAAAGCUCUUCUCCCUGUGAGGGUCCCAAGAUAGGAGUUGGAUUUGGCAGUCCUUGCAGGGGAAUCUGGGGACAGAUUCUAGAUAAGGAGGGACAGCUGGACACGUGAAUUUCAUGGCAGGUUACAAGGAAUCUUUGGGCUCACUCAGGCUGCUCAGCCACCCUCAUGUCAAACCAGGCCUGCACUACAGGGCCAUCAAGGCCACCAAGCAGCCUCCCAGUAGCCGUCAUGCCACUUUUGGCCUCGGCAGCUCUCAGCGUCUAUCCAAACCACUCUUGACCUCCCCCAUCCAAAUGGGUCACUCCCCUAUUUUAAAAUCUUCUAGACUCCUCAGUACCCUCAAGCCAUCCCAAGCCCCAUACCGAACAUUCAAAUUCCCCGCUUCUGGAUUGAUCUUUCUUUGCCUCACUCCUGGGCCGCAAGUUACUCACGUUAGCGCAUGGGACCCCCUCCGUCCUGCCGAGUGUGCAGUUUUUGGUCCCUUUUCAAGCUGUAUCCCCUCCUGAUUCCUGUUCUCUUUGGUCUCCAAAUUGGACCUGGCUUUCAGGACCCAGGGAGUCCCCUACCACCAAGGACUUCUCAACUUGAGUCAUCUGCUCAGUGGCCCUUCAGGACUGUCCCUACUGUGAUGUGGCUUCUUCCCUGCUAGAAAGUCUGUCUGUUCCCCUUCUCUUUCACCCCAGAGCACAGUUCACAAGCAUGGACUAUCCAGUGUGAGUGGGUGCCCCAUAUGAGGUUGGCCUGGCAAGGUGUCAUCCUGGUGCCUGCUGGGCUGCUGGGCUGUGGACUCCAUCCCCAUACCUUUCCCUCUGUUGGCCACAAGGCCCAUCCCUGGCUCUCUAUCUCCUGUUCACAUUGCUGUCAUUCCCUGAACUGAAGCUUGGUACUAAGCCCCAAGAUCCCUCAGAUCCAGGACAGCCCGGGCCCUUAGCUCACCUCUUUGCAAGUCAAGCUACAGUCCCAACUGCAUGGCCAGUGGCAGGGGCAGGGAAAGUCACCAUGGGCCACUCCAGCUGUGACCAUUAGGUUACGUCUAGACUGUAAUUUCCUAGACUUGCUUCUACCCAUUGCUAGAUCUUCCCUCUUGAAUCAACCGUCACUUUCUCUGUUUUUCUCCAGGACAAACCACAUCCUUCCUCCCCACCUGCUAGGACUGGGCCUUCCCCUAUCCUUCAAAGCCCCAGGAAUAACCACUGCAGGGAGGCUGUGGCACUCUUGCCUUGAAACGUCCUACAAGCUGGGGCCCUUUCCUGAAAAUAUGGAACAGGACAAGAAUGUCCUCAGUGUUUUCCUGCAAGAUCUAGUUAAGCCAACCAGACAAGGAAAAUCAGUAAUAGCUGCAAUUGUUCAGAUUGCUGUUUAAAUGUUUAUAUCUGUCUGCCUAAAAAUCCCAAGGUUGGUUAUUAUGGGCUAGCAAAAGAGUUUGGGAAAUUUCAUAUGUUGAUUUUGUAAAGACAACCAGUAGCUGUUUUUGUUUGUUUGUUUGUUUGUUUUUUUGAGACAGGGUUUCUCUAUGGCUUUGGAGGCUGUCCUGGAACUCGCUCUUGUAGACCAGGCUGGUCUCAAACUCACAGAGAUCCCCCUGCCUCUGCCUCCCGAGUGCUGGGAUUAAAGGCGUGUGCCACCACCGCCUGGCCAGUAGCUGUCUUAUAUGCCAACCAAACCCAUUUUAAAAAAGACACAGGCUCCCUUCACAGUUGCCAAAAUAUAAACACCCCUGGGUUACUAUCACCCAUGGAAGUGCAGACUUCUUAACUUGGCAUGCACAGCCCUCGGUUACCCGUCACUCGCCACUGUCUUGCCCCUCUGUCCCCUAGAACCCAUUCCUCUGCCAUGCUCUUGUGAGAUUGCCUCUAGCAGUGACCUGAGCUCUUUCAACUGCCAACUCCUCAGGGCUCUUCCUCUGAGUGCCUUCCCAGCACACACCACAUUCUUUCCUGGGUCUAGCUCUGGUCCUAGAUAGUUAUGUGGACUAAGAUGUCUCUGCCAGUUGACCAAGAGCCCUGUGGAACAUGGAGUGAGCCUGGCUCAGAUCCAUGAAGGGCCGGUAAAUGUCAGAUGCUCAAGUGGCUGACAUGGCUGUGAUCCUGGAGUACAUCUACACUUAGGUGAGCGUCAGCUUUGCACAUAUUCAUGCUGGCUCUAGUGCCUCCCCGUGUGUGUGUGUGUGUGUGUGUGUGUGUGUGUGUGUGUGUGUGUGUGUGUAUCUUCUGUGACUGAGCUGGCUGGCACUGUAGCUCAGCUGGCCAGGCCCUUGACCAGAAAGGCCACUAACAGAGCCAGAGUAGUCUCCACCCACUGCCCCAAACACCCUCUACCCUCUGCCCCACCUGACUGGGUCAUACCUGGUAUGUGAGCAGACAGCUGUGCCCAGGCAGAAGAGGUCCUAGGGAAGCCAGCUACGAAGGAUCCUGAGACCAGGUCCAGGCGGGAGGCCUCCAGAACAGCCCAAUUGAUUACCCACAGCUGGGACUUCCCAGCCACAGGACCGCCCACGCCCACUCUACUACGCAGACCCCCUGCUUUCGGUUUCAGGAAAGUGCCGCCCCUUUCAUUCCAGUGGCAACCACUCCAACCUUUGAUCCGUCACAGCCCAGAGUUAGCCCGAGUUUGACGUGGAGAGACUGGAGAGGGGAGGUUAGGGAGGGCCUUAAGGGAAGCUAAGGAGAUGGAGAUUAGUAGAGGAGAGGUCACGUAGGUGGAGUCUAGGGAGGGUGGCCCUCUGUAACAGCAGCGGGGCAGGAGCUGUUGGGGACCGCUGAGGACUGUCAGACCCUCCCACUCCUUUGAUGGGGGGCUGGGGAGCACUCAGCCCCCUAGUGCCCAAGUCCAGAAACACUCCUCUCUCCAGGAAGGGUUCCAGUUCCAGGCCAGUCCCACCUAUGCCUCCCAGAGCUGAGAGGCGAGGGCCGAUGGGAAGGCUUGUUGGGGAAGUUUCUGGUCAUGCCUGGAGGAACAGGUAUGAGCCAUUUACUGUCCCAGAAAACUUGGAGUGCUGUAAGGAGAGGGCCCAAGGAACCCGGGAGGUCCCACUCAGGAGUGAGAAGCAGCCUUCUAGGCAGAGGCAGUGGUCCAGUCACAGCGUCUGGGAGUGGCUGCUUUGAUGGCUUUGAACGCAGGGGAAAUCCAAGGACACAUUCAGGCAUGUCCAUCCUGCGCUGCCCCGGACUAUGGGGUCCCGAGGACACAGCAGUACACAGGUCAUACACACCUUCCCUGUUCUGGGCCUGAGAGCUGAAGUCUUGGUUCUUCUGAGGCUUUCGUCCUGGUCUACAGGUUACUUUUUUCUUUUUUUAAACCUGGAGACCGGGUCUCACUAAACAUCCAGACCAGGUCUCACUAAACAUCCUUACGAUGGCCUGUAGCUCACACAAAGGUUGGCUUUGAAUUCACAGAAAUUGGAUUAAAGGCAUGAACAUCACAACUGG